AUACGGAGGGUGCAAGCGUUGUCCGGAUUUAUUGGGUUUAAAGGGUGCGUAGGUGGCGUGUUAAGUCAGUGGUGAAAGCCUGCAGCUCAACUGUAGAGGUGCCAUUGAUACUGACAUGCUUGAGUAUGGACGAGGUAGGCGGAAUUUGUGGUGUAGCGGUGAAAUGCAUAGAUACCACAAAGAACACCGAUAGCGAAGGCAGCUUACUGGACCAUAACUGACACUGAGGCACGAAAGUGUGGGUAGCGAAUAGGAUUAGAAACCCCAGUAGUCC
rnacentral:rRNA from 1 species